rnacentral:rRNA from 1 species
GAUGAACGCUGGCGAGAUGCCUUACACAUGCAAGUCGUACGGGGAUUUUUAAUUCAAGUGGCGGACGGGUGAGUAACACGUAAGAAUUUGCCUUUAGGAGGGGGACAACAACUGGAAACGGUUGCUAAUACCCCAUAUGCUUUCGAGUGAAAUGGAUUUUUCCGCCUAAAGAGAAGCUUGCGGCUGAUUAGCUUGUUGGUGAGGUAAUGGCUCACCAAGGCGACGAUCAGUAUCUGGUUUGAGAGGAUGAUCAGACACACUGGAACUGAGACACGGUCCAGACUCCUACGGGAGGCAGCAGUGGGGAAUUUUCCGCAAUGGGCGAAAGCCUGACGGAGCAAUCUCGCGUGGGGGAUGACGGCCUAUGGGUUGUAAACCUCUUUUUUCUAGGGAGGAACGAAAAUGACGUGUACCUGAAGAAUAAGCAUCGGCUAACUCCGUG